rnacentral:tRNA from 1 species
GGUGGGUUGGCGGAGCGGACAAACGCACUGGUCUUGAAAACCAGAGUCAUUUAUGGCUACACAGGUUCGAAUCCUGUACCCACCG